rnacentral:rRNA from 1 species
CUACGGGAGGCAGCAGUGGGGAAUCUUGUGCAAUGGGCGAAAGCCUGACACAGCAACGCCGCGUGCGGGAAGAAGGCCUUCGGGUCGUAAACCGCUUUCAGCAGGAACGAAAAUGACGGUACCUGCAGAAGAAGGUGCGGCCAACUACGUGCCAGCAGCCGCGGUGACACGUAGGCACCAAGCGUUGUCCGGAUUUAUUGGGCGUAAAGAGCUCGUAGGCGGUUCAGCAAGUCGGGUGUGAAAACUCUGGGCUUAACCCAGAGCCUGCACCCGAAACUGCUGUGACUAGAGUUCGGUAGGGGAGCGGGGAAUUCCUGGUGUAGCGGUGAAAUGCGCAGAUAUCAGGAGGAACACCGGUGGCGAAGGCGCCGCUCUGGGCCGAAACUGACGCUGAGGAGCGAAAGCGUGGGUAGCAAACAGGAUUAGAUACCCUAGUAGUC